rnacentral:rRNA from 1 species
CCUACGGGAGGCAGCAGUGGGGAAUAUUGGACAAUGGGGGCAACCCUGAUCCAGCAAUGCCGCGUGAGUGAUGAAGGCCUUCGGGUUGUAAAGCUCUUUCACCCACGACGAUGAUGACGGUAGUGGGAGAAGAAGCCCCGGCUAACUUCGUGCCAGCAGCCGCGGUAAUACGAAGGGGGCGUAGCGUUGUUCGGAGUUACUGGGCGUAAAGGGACGGCGUAGGCGGCCUGGUCAGUCUGGUGUGAAAGCCCGGGGCGUCAACCCCGGAACUUGCACUGGAGACGGCCAAGCUUGAGUGUGGGAGGAGGAUGGUGGAAUUCCCAGUGUAGAGGUGAAAUUCGUAGAUAUUGGGAAGAACACCGGUGGCGAAGGCGGCCAUCUGGACCAUUACUGACGCUGAGGCGCGAAAGACGUGGGGAGCAAACAGGAUUAGAUACCCUGGUAGUCCACGCCGUAAACGAUGAGUGCUAGACGUCGGGGCCCUUACGGGCUUCGGUGUCGCAGCUAACGCAUUAAGCACUCCGCCUGGGGAGUACGGCCGCAAGGUUAAAACUUAAAAUGAAUUGACGGCUGAGACNGCGACGACGACACGAGGAGGAGG